CUGGCUCAGGAUGAACGCUGGCGGCGUGCUUAACACAUGCAAGUCGAACGGAGUUAGAUGAAAGCUUGCUUUGACUAAACUUAGUGGCGGACGGGUGAGUAACGCGUGGGUAACCUGCCUUAUACAGGGGGAUAACAGUCGGAAACGACUGCUAAUACCGCAUAAGCGCACGGAAUCGCAUGAUUCAGUGUGAAAAGAUUUAUCGGUAUAAGAUGGACCCGCGUCUGAUUAGCUAGUUGGUGAGGUAACGGCCCACCAAGGCGACGAUCAGUAGCCGGCCUGAGAGGGUGAACGGCCACAUUGGGACUGAGACACGGCCCAAACUCCUACGGGAGGCAGCAGUGGGGAAUAUUGCACAAUGGGGGAAACCCUGAUGCAAGCGACGCCGCGUGAGUGAAGAAGUAUUUCGGUAUGUAAAGCUCUAUCAGCAGGGAAGAAAAUGACGGUACCUGACUAAGAAGCCCCGGCUAACUACGUGCCAGCAGCUGC
rnacentral:rRNA from 1 species